rnacentral:rRNA from 1 species
GACGAACGCUUGCGGCACGCUUAACACAUGCAAGUCGAACGAGAGAAGAGAAGCUUGCUUUUCUGAUCUAGUGGCGGACGGGUGAGUAACACGUGAGCAAUCUGCCUUUCAGAGGGGGAUACCGAUUGGAAACGAUCGUUAAUACCGCAUAACAUAAUUGAACCGCAUGAUUUGAUUAUCAAAGAUUUAUCGCUGAAAGAUGAGCUCGCGUCUGAUUAGCUAGUUGGUAAGGUAACGGCUUACCAAGGCGACGAUCAGUAGCCGGACUGAGAGGUUGAUCGGCCACAUUGGGACUGAGACACGGCCCACACUCCUACGGGAGGCAGCAGUGGGGAAUAUUGCACAAUGGAGGAAACUCUGAUGCAGCGAUGCCGCGUGAGGGAAGAAGGUUCUAGGAUUGUAAACCUCUGUCUUCAGGGGACGAAAAAAGACGGUACCUGAGGAGGAAGCUCCGGCUAACUACGUGCCAGCAGCCGCGGUAAUACGUAGGGAGCGAGCGUUGUCCGGAAUUACUGGGUGUAAAGGGAGCGUAGGCGGGAUCGCAAGUCAGAUGUGAAAACUAUGGGCUUAACCCAUAAACUGCAUUUGAAACUGUGGUUCUUGAGUGAAGUAGAGGUAAGCGGAAUUCCUAGUGUAGCGGUGAAAUGCGUAGAUAUUAGGAGGAACAUCAGUGGCGAAGGCGGCUUACUGGGCUUUAACUGACGCUGAGGCUCGAAAGCGUGGGGAGCAAACAGGAUUAGAUACCCUGGUAGUCCACGCCGUAAACGAUGAUUACUAGGUGUGGGGGGACUGACCCCUUCCGUGCCGCAGCAAACGCAAUAAGUAAUCCACCUGGGGAGUACGACCGCAAGGUUGAAACUCAAAGGAAUUGACGGGGGCCCGCACAAGCAGUGGAGUAUGUGGAUUAAUUCGAAGCAACGCGAAGAACCUUACCAGGUCUUGACAUCGUAUGCAUAGCUCAGAGAUGAGUGAAAUCUCCUCGGAGACAUAUAGACAGGUGGUGCAUGGUUGUCGUCAGCUCGUGUCGUGAGAUGUUGGGUUAAGUCCCGCAACGAGCGCAACCCUUACUGUUAGUUGCUACGCAAGAGCACUCUAGCAGGACUGCCGUUGACAAAACGGAGGAAGGUGGGGAUGACGUCAAAUCAUCAUGCCCCUUAUGACCUGGGCCUCACACGUACUACAAUGGCUGUCAACAGAGGGAAGCAAAGCCGCGAGGUGGAGCAAACCCCUAAAAGCAGUCUUAGUUCGGAUUGUAGGCUGCAACCCGCCUACAUGAAGUCGGAAUUGCUAGUAAUCGCAGAUCAGCAUGCUGCGGUGAAUACGUUCCCGGGCCUUGCACA